GGGUCCGGACACACUGAGGAUUGACAGGCAAUAUUAAUACGUUUUGCUUCGGUAAACGCGUAUUAUGUUAAAUAUGCUAGUCCUUUCAUGAUUAUGUGAUAGGUGGUGCAUGGCCGUUCUUAGUUCGUGGAGUGAUCUGUCUGCUUAAUUGCGUUUCACUAAGGGCCUAUAAAUUUACGUGUGUUGCAUCGCACUUUGACCCCUUUCUUUAAUUAGAGAGCGCGUGUCUUAGUUUUCGCUUUGCUCAUACAAUUAGGUCCUGAAAGCAACGAACGUGACCGCAACCUCUUGUUGCCUUUAUACCAAACAUGUUUUGCGUCAAUUUUUACGAAUUGCGCGCAUUUCAUGAAAAAAGGCUUUUUAAACUAGAGGGACCGCUGUUACUUUCUUAAACCAGAGGAAGGUUGCGGCAAUAACAGGUCUGUGAUGCCCUUAGAUGUUCCGGGCUGCACACGUGCUACAAUGAUUAUUGCAGUGAGCAUCUCAUUUUUACACACCGCAUGCGCGAGUCCAUUUAUUCACCUUCGGGUG
rnacentral:rRNA from 1 species